GAUAACAGAGAAAGCAAGAUAAUUCAGCUGUGAAAACAAGCAAACUUUCUUCUAAUACAGAACAGCUGAGUGCUUCACUGUCUUUACAAAGAAUCCACUCCUGUAGCCACAGGUUUAGAGUGAAAGAGACCCAUUAAUUCACGGAUGUCAAGGCUGCUGGUGAAAUUGAAUACAGAAAAAUACUGUCCUCUACCACAUGUGAUGGAAGAAAUCCAAGUUAAACACUCUCACCAGAGCAUGCUCCAAGACAGAUGACUGGGCCUCAGGCUUGGCCAAUACAAUGCACUUCUAUUCUCUAUUUAUUUUUGUAGUUCAAAGACCUGGCAGUAAGCAAGUUGAUGCCUGCCAUAAGGACCAGUGCACUCCUGAUGACUGCCCAGUGACUUUUAUAACUGUGUGCCAGCUACUCAGAUAGACCACGCAUAAAGAGUAGGGGGAUUUUUUUGGAAGGAAAAGAAACCUCAGCUUCCACUUAAGCUUUGAAAUUUCAGAUGAUGUACUGCCAACUUACAGACCUUGCUUUAAUCAGAACAGCCACAUGAAAAGGCUGUUUCUAUUUACCGUAGGUCAUUUAGGAAACCAGUGAUAAGUAGGCCGUGUAAAAUUUCAACUUCUCUUAAAGUUGGCGUGUUCUCCUCAACUAGAGUUGAGUCUUGAUUUCAUUUUCUGAGUAGAAAUAUUUACAACCCUGUCAUACACGAGUUUUAGCCUUCUUUCUGUCUACCAACAAAUGGGCUUUUUAAAGAAUGCUUAGGGUUAA